GACGAACGCUGGCGGCGCGCUUAACACAUGCAAGUCGAGCGAGAACCCAGGCUUCGGCCUGGGGGAAAGCGGCGAACGGGUGAGUAUCACGUGGGUAAUCUGCCCUCGACAUCGGGAUAGCCCGGGGAAACCCGGAUUAAUACCGAAUGGCCCAUCCGCCCUUCGGAGCGGCUGGGGAAGGUAGCUUCGGCCUCCAGUCGCGGAGGAGCCCGCGGCGGAUUAGCUUGUUGGUGGGGUAAUGGCUCACCAAGGCGACGAUCCGUAGCUGGUCUGAGAGGACGAUCAGCCACACUGGGACUGAGACACGGCCCAGACUCCUACGGGAGGCAGCAGUGGGGAAUCUUGCGCAAUGGGCGAAAGCCUGACGCAGCGACGCCGCGUGCGGGAAGAAGGCCUUCGGGUUGUAAACCGCUUUCAGGAGGGACGAAGCCACUCGGGUUAAUAGCCCAGAGGGUGACGGUACCUCCAGAAGAAGCCCCGGCUAACUACGUGCCAGCCGCCGCGGUAACAC
rnacentral:rRNA from 1 species